GAACUGCGAUAAGUAAUGUGAAUUGCAGAAUUCAGUGAAUCAUCGAGUCUUUGAACGCACAUUGCGCCCCCUGGCAUUCCGGGGGGCAUGCCUGUCCGAGCGUCAUUGCUGCCCUCAAGCCCGGCUUGUGUGUUGGGUCGUCGUCCCCCCCGGGGGACGGGCCCGAAAGGCAGCGGCGACACCGUGUCCGGUCCUCGAGCGUAUGGGGCUUUGUCACCCGCUCGAUUAGGGCCGGCCGGGCGCCAGCCGGCGUCUCCAACCUUAUUUUUCUCAGGUUGACCUCGGAUCAGGUAGGGAUACCCGCUGAACUUAAGC
rnacentral:misc_RNA from 1 species